GCAAUGAUACGUAGCCGACCUGAGAGGGUAAUCGGCCCCAUUGGGACUGAGACACGGCCCAAACUCCUACGGGAGGCAGCAGUAGGGAAUCUUCCACAAUGGACGAAAGUCUGAUGGAGCAACGCCGCGUGAGUGAAGAAGGGUUUCGGCUCGUAAAACUCUGUUGUUAAAGAAGAACAUAUCUGAGAGUAACUGUUCAGGUAUUGACGGUAUUUAACCAGAAAGCCACGGCUAACUACGUGCCAGCAGCCGCGGUAAUACGUAGGUGGCAAGCGUUGUCCGGAUUUAUUGGGCGUAAAGCGAGCGCAGGCGGUUUUUUAAGUCUGAUGUGAAAGCCUUCGGCUCAACCGAAGAAGUGCAUCGGAAACUGGGAAACUUGAGUGCAGAAGAGGACAGUGGAACUCCAUGUGUAGCGGUGAAAUGCGUAGAUAUAUGGAAGAACACCAGUGGCGAAGGCGGCUGUCUGGUCUGUAACUGACGCUGAGGCUCGAAAGUAUGGGUAGCAAACAGGAUUAGAUACCCUGGUAGUCCAUACCGUAAACGAUGAAUGCUAAGUGUUGGAGGGUUUCCGCCCUUCAGUGCUGCAGCUAACGCAUUAAGCAUUCCGCCUGGGGAGUACGGCCGCAAGGCUGAAACUCAAAGGAAUUGACGGGGGCCCGCACAAGCGGUGGAGCAUGUGGUUUAAUUCGAAGCUACGCGAAGAACCUUACCAGGUCUUGACAUACUAUGCAAAUCUAAGAGAUUAGACGUUCCCUUCGGGGACAUGGAUACAGGUGGUGCAUGGUUGUCGUCAGCUCGUGUCGUGAGAUGUUGGGUUAAGUCCCGCAACGAGCGCAACCCUUAUUAUCAGUUGCCAGCAUUAAGUUGGGCACUCUGGUGAGACUGCCGGUGACAAACCGGAGGAAGGUGGGGAUGACGUCAAAUCAUCAUGCCCCUUAUGACCUGGGCUACACACGUGCUACAAUGGAUGGUACAACGAGUUGCGAACUCGCGAGAGUAAGCUAAUCUCUUAAAGCCAUUCUCAGUUCGGAUUGUAGGCUGCAACUCGCCUACAUGAAGUCGGAAUCGCUAGUAAUCGCGGAUCAGCAUGCCGCGGUGAAUACGUUCCCGGGCCUUGUACACACCGCCCGUCACACCAUGAGAGUUUGUAACACCCAAAGUCGGUGGGGUAACCUUUAGGACCAGCCCGCUUAAUAAGGUGUUCCCCUU
rnacentral:rRNA from 1 species